AGCUAGUUGGUGAGGUAAUGGCUCACCAAGGCUUCGAUCGGUAACCGGCCUGAGAGGGCGAUCGGUCACACCGGAACUGAGACACGGUCCGGACUCCUACGGGAGGCAGCAGUGGGGAAUCUUGCGCAAUGGGCGAAAGCCUGACGCAGCAACGCCGCGUGGAGGAUGAAGGCCCUUGGGUUGUAAACUCCUGUCGGCUGGGAAGAAAUCGUUUGUGGCUAAUACCCGCAGACGUUGACUGUACCAGCAAAGGAAGCCCCGGCUAACUCUGUGCCAGCAGCCGCGGUAAUACAGAGGGGGCCAGCGUUAUUCGGAAUUAUUGGGCGUAAAGGGCGCGUAGGCGGCCAUGCGUGUCUUCCGUGAAAUCCCUCGGCUUAACCGAGGACGUGCGGAAGAAACUGCAAGGCUCGAGUCCGGAAGAGGGGGGCGGAAUUCCCAGUGUAGCGGUGAAAUGCGUAGAUAUUGGGAGGAACACCAGUGGCGAAGGCGGUCCCCUGGGCCGGAACUGACGCUGAUGCGCGAAAGCGUGGGUAGCAAACGGGAUUAGAUACCCCGGUAGUCCACGCCGUAAACGAUGGGCACUUGGUGUC
rnacentral:rRNA from 1 species